GACGAACGCUGGCGGCGUGCUUAACACAUGCAAGUCGAACGGAAAGGCCCUGCUUGCAGGGUACUCGAGUGGCGAACGGGUGAGUAACACGUGGGUGAUCUGCCCUGCACUUCGGGAUAAGCUUGGGAAACUGGGUCUAAUACCGGAUAGGAGCCAUCUUUAGUGUGGUGGUUGGAAAGUUUUUUCGGUGUAGGAUGAGCUCGCGGCCUAUCAGCUUGUUGGUGGGGUAAUGGCCUACCAAGGCGGCGACGGGUAGCCGGCCUGAGAGGGUGUACGGCCACAUUGGGACUGAGAUACGGCCCAGACUCCUACGGGAGGCAGCAGUGGGGAAUAUUGCACAAUGGGCGCAAGCCUGAUGCAGCGACGCCGCGUGGGGGAUGAAGGCCUUCGGGUUGUAAACUCCUUUCGCUAGGGACGAAGCUUUUUUGUGACGGUACCUAGAUAAGAAGCACCGGCGAACUACGUG
rnacentral:rRNA from 1 species